UCAUGCUAAUGAUAAAGGACGAUACACUAUGGCUUGGUUUGGGAGGUGGAAAGUCGUAUAGAAUUUAUAUGGCAACAGGAAAGUUCGCUAAAACACCUGAUAAGGCCUUCCGGAUCGAAGGGAGCAUGGCACCAUGAAGGAGCAUCCUCUGGAACUGAUUUGUCGCUCAACAUUUUACAUUCCUGGCCAUCAAAUUCCUUGUUAGUUGGCUAGCUAUCUGGCUUCAUGAAUCAUGAUACUGAAGGUUUACUCUACUAGGCAUA
rnacentral:lncRNA from 1 species